GACGAACGCUGGCGGCGUGCUUAACACAUGCAAGUCGAACGGAAAGGCCCUGCUUUUGUGGGGUGCUCGAGUGGCGAACGCGUGAGUAACACGUGAGUAACCUGCCCUUGACUUUGGGAUAACUUCAGGAAAAUGGGGCUAAUACCGGAUAGGAGCUCUUGCUGCAUGGUGUGGGUUGGAAAAAUUCGGCGGUGGUGGAUGGACUCGAUGCUUCUCCGCUAGUUGGUGUGGUAGUUGCUUACCACGGCUGUGACGGGUAGCCGGCCUGAGAGGGUGACCGGCGUCAAUGGGACUGAGAUACGGACCAGAAGCGUACGGGACGCAGCAGUGGGGAAUAUUGCAGAAUGGGGCGAAGCCUGAGGCAGCAACGCCGCGAGCGGGAUAACCGGCUUCGGGUUGUAAACCGCUGUGUAAGGUGACGAAGAGUGAGUGACGGUAAUGGGUAAAGAAGCAACGGCUAACUACGUG
rnacentral:rRNA from 1 species